rnacentral:lncRNA from 1 species
UUCUGUCUGCGCGAUGCGUGAGGAAACGGGUGGGUGUACCGACUCUGAUAACGUAUCCCGAGUGAGCCAUGUUUCCGUGAAACAGAGAAUGUUACAAUCUCUGAUGUCUCUCUGGAAGGCAACCCUUGCACGAAUUUCAUCUACCUUGUUGUCAAGAGACUGGACAUUGACAAGUAGUAUACUCUGGAGAGGUGAGCAAUGUGCCCAUUUACGGAGCCUGACCAGAAGACCGCUCCGUCUACCCCUUCUGCGGCGCCGUUGUUUUGGGUCUCCUACUGGGAUCCGAUCCAUUGUCCUGCGUGAUGGUCCAAACAGAGGAUCUGCUUCGGGAAAGUCAUAUUCCUGGUCGUAAUGUUGAUGCUUGGUCUGUUCUGUUCUGUUCAGCCCAGCUGGUGGGUGUCGAGGGACAGGCACAGCUGUGGGGGAUCUGAAUGCAGGCCUCUAAAUCCUGAAUAGGAUUAGCCAAUCGCCAGUGCUUCCUGCCUCAAGGCUGCAGUCCAGGUUGCUGUAGCAGGGUGCCUGGUCCCCAACGCUUCCUGCCUGAGAGAAAGGGGUAGCCAAGCCAUGCAGAACCACUGGGAGGAGAACAGGAGAGGUAUUGUGGGUUAUUUAAAACAAGGAAGGAUAGGAGGACUUCAAAGGACUUGGGCAAUGAUCCCCUCUCUAGCUUUCACGUUCAACAUAUCCUGUUUAGAAAUGUGUCGGCCUCCAAAUCAAAACGUUUGGUUCUCUGGAGAGAUUAUUUAAAUCCAUUCAUAAUGUAAAUUUUUCCUAUCAACAAUGCAUAUUUUUGUCCUGGUUUAAUUAACCCAAAGACUCACAAAUAUUUACCUCUCUCCCUCACCUUUACCUUUGCCUUUCUCCCUCACCUUUACCUUUGCCUUUCUCCCUUACAUUUACCUUUGCCUGUCUCCCUCACCUUUGCCAGUCUCCCUCAGCUUUACCUUUGCCUUUCUCCCUCACCUUUACCUUUGCCUUUCUCCCUCACCUUUGCCUGUCUCCCUCACCUUUGCAUUUCUCCCUCACCUUUGCGUGUCUCCCUCACCUUUGCAUUUCUCCCUCACCUUUGCGUGUCUCCCUCUCCUUUAACUUUUCUCCUAUCUACAUGGUCUAAUUUAGUCAGCUUGACAUGUGCUGUUUCAGACAAGACUUGAGGGGGGAAGACUGACGUGUGCCGUUUUACUGCAAACAACACCUCAUUACAGGAUCACUGAAUAUUUAUCACUGUAGGUAGAUGUUAUCUCACGCCUUGGUCAAUUAACAACUUUCAAGUGCAUUUAAUUGGUAAAAAAACUUUCCUGGAGACAAGUAAUUUAAAGUAAUCAGCCAAUGUUUUCUCCAGCUGCCUCUGACGUUGAAAAGCUGAAAUUUACCACAUGAUUUUUACAACACUCAUCAAACAUUCAUAUUAUUUUGAAUUGUAUUUUCCUUCUUGUCCCCGUGACCCACAUCACUAAUGUUGUUUUUUCUUUCAAACAGAAGCAACACACACUUCUCUUGAG